UGAACAAUCUGCUGCAGCAGGGCAACCACCGACAGCCUCGGGGGCAACGCGACGGAGAGCGCUGGUAGCAGUGUGGCGGCCAGAGCUUCUCCGCGUGCCCACGGGGCGGGCGGUGGACAGAGCAGCGCGGGCGGCGACAGGCGGGGCGGCGGCGCAUCGUUGAGUUCUAGUUAGGAGCGUUCGUGUGUGUGUCGUGCAGCAUGGCGUAGUGGCCAGGACCUACAAGUGCAAGCAGAUCGGCAGCCAUGACGUGAGUGUGAGUAUGUGUUGCGGUGUGCGGCCAGGUGCCUGGUUGAGACAUGGCGAUUGCUUAGGAGAAAAUCAGCAGAUGCAUGUGUUUGUUAGUCUGAUCAGCAUGCAGGCACACGUUGGCUUGGAGUUGUGGCCAAAUCUAAGUGAACGAGUCAUGGCGAGAAAAGUGGAUCAGAUAGCUCAUGCAUGGAGUCGUUAGUGGUGAUCGUGCGGCCAGACGUGGCUCAACCAGUGCCAGUGUGUGCUUG
rnacentral:lncRNA from 1 species